CCUACGGGUGGCUGCAGGCGCGAAACCUUUACAAUGCACGAAAGUGUGAUAGGGGGAUACUCAGUGCUUACGAUUAUGUCGUAGGCUUUUGUCGAUCGUAAAUAGAUCGGCGAAUAAGUGGUGGGUAAGACCGGUGCCAGCCGCCGCGGUAACCCCGGCGCCACAAGUGGUCAUCGCGAUUAUUGGGCCUAAAGCAUCCGUAGCCGGUUCCGUAGGUCCUCUGUUAAAUCCAGCCGCUCAACGGGUGACCUGCAGAGGAUAGCGCGGGACAAGGAGGCGGGAGAGGCGGACGGUACUCCGCGUGUAGGGGUAAAAUCCUUUGAUCCGCGGAAGACCACCAGUGGCGAAGGCGGUC
rnacentral:rRNA from 1 species